rnacentral:rRNA from 1 species
UUCGUAGGGGGCUUGCUAAGUUUGAUGUGAAAGCCCGAGGCUUAACCUCGGAACUGCAUUGAAAACUGGCAAACUUGAGCACUGGAGAGGAGAGUGGAAUUCCUGGAGUAGCGGUGGAAUGCGUAGAUAUCAGGAAGAACACCGAAAGCGAAGGCAGCUCUCUGGCCAGUUGCUGACCCUGAGGAACGAAAGCGUGGGUAGCGGACAGGAUUAGAUACCCUGGUAGUCC